UGCAUCAGUCAAUAUGGGCGUUGGAGGCAUCAGCUUCUCUGAUGGCACAAACGACAUGAAGCAAUCCCAGCCUGGGUGGAGCUUCAUGCACACACAAGCCAAACCUCAUCACUUGACCAACAAUGUGAAGACCUCUUUUGCAGGUGGUGCCACCAGCCCUUUAAACCGAGUCAUCGCCCAACCUUUUGACGCAAAUUAUUCUGAGCCUUUAGCCUAGGAAUUGGACUGUGACAGAAAUGGAGAAGUCACUACUAUAGCUCAUGUGGCACCUCUGACAUUCACUGCUGCGGGAUGGCGGUCUGACAGAAUUCAUCUGGUACUUUUUCAACCCCAAAUAUUCUGACUGGGCAGUGUGCACCUGACUAGACUACAACAAGAGGCCUACUGGGACAAUGGCCAAAUACCACUGGCAGAGUCAAAAUGUCAAACAAAGUGGAGUGGACGACAUGGUCCUGCUGUCCAAGAUCACAGAGGAGGCCAUCGUAGAAAACCUGAAGAAAAGAUACAUGGAUGAUUACAUUUUUACGUACAUUGGUUCUGUGCUGAUAUCAAUCAACCCCUUCAAACAGAUGCCUUACUUCACUGACCGAGAAAUCGAACUGUACCAAGGAGCAGUAAGUUGACAUAUUUGGCUUCUGUCAUCUGUACAGGGAUUGUGUGUUGUUUAUUUGCUGUAUAUUUAUCCGAGACCAAGUAAACCCUGGGCAAGUACCGUCGAUGCCAGCAACUUUUUUUUUUUUUUAAGACCAUUGAUUCAUUUUGUGAUUUUGCUAUAUGGCUCAUCAAUCAUUGUCAAUAUUUACUGUCGAUAUGACAAUAUAGUGUUCCCUCGUCACGUUGGCUCACUUAUUGCAGUCUCAGUGCAUCACAGAUUUUAAAGUACUUUUAGUACAUUAAGACGCAUUGGAGUUUCUGGGCCCCCAAACAAAAGACUCCUCAAGGGCCCCCAUCCAUACACACGUGGUGUGUUUACAUGCACUAAAACAAACUGCAUGGAUUUGAUUACAACCAGCUUUUUA